rnacentral:sRNA from 1 species
UGCAAUCGGGCAACGCGCCCACGCCGUCC